AUUGAACGCUGGCGGCAGGCCUAACACAUGCAAGUCGAACGAGUGGCGGACGGGUGAGUAAUGUCUGGGAAACUGACCGAUGGAGGGGGGUAACUACUGGAAACGGUAGCUAAUACCGCAUACCAUCGGAGGUGCCCAGAUGGGCUUAGCUGGUAGGUGGGGUAACGGCUCACCUAGGCGACGAUGCCUAGCUGGUCUGAGAGGAUGACCAGCCACACUGGAACUGAGACACGGGCCAGACUCCUACGGGAGGCAGCAGUGGGGAAUAUUGCACAAUGGGCGCAAGCCUGAUGCAGCCAUGCCGCGUGUAUGAAGAAGGCCUUCGGGUUGUAAAGUACUUUCAGCGAGGAGGCGUUACUCGCAGAAGAAGCACCGGCUAACUCCGUGCCAGCAGCCGCGGUAAUAC
rnacentral:rRNA from 1 species